AUGUUUGACCUUUCACGUGAAAAACAUUCCACAGAUCAGGUCUCGUCUCACAGAUCAGGUCUCGUCUCACAGAUCAGGUCUCGUCUCACAGAUCAGGUCUCGUCUCACAGAUCAGGUCUCGUCUCACAGAUCAGGUCUUGUCUCACAGAUCAGGUCUUGUCCAGGUCUCGUCUCACAGAUCAGGUCUCGUCCAGGUCUCGUCUCACAGAUCAGGUCUCGUCUCACAGAUCAGGUCUCGUCCAGGUCUCGUCUCACAGAUCAGGUCUCGUCUCACAGAUCAGGUCUCGUCUCACAGAUCAGGUCUCGUCCAGGUCUCGUCUCACAGAUCAGGUCUCGUCCAGGUCUCGUCUCACAGAUCAGGUCUCGUCUCACAGAUCAGGUCUCGUCUCACAGAUCAGGUCUUGUCCAGGUCCUGUCUCACAGAUCAGGUCUCGUCCAGGUCUCGUCUCACAGAUCAGGUCUUGUCUCAUAGAUCAGGAUCAGAUCAUUGUAUUCACAGUUACAUCAGGAUUCUUCUGAUCCUCGUGGUUCAGGCUCCAGAUUCGCUGCUGAAUUCCUGCUCCGCGAUGAGCCACCGGGCCUCAGGUCCUCGGGCCGGACUCUGCCGAGUCCCGACUCGAGAGGCUUGCAGCCGGGCCUCAGAGCCUUGACCGCUGUGUCGACAAAGAUAUUAGAUAGUAAAAAAUAACUGAUACCGAUAUAUCGGACUGAUGAUUAUAUAUAUAUUUUUUAAAGGACUCACAGUGAUUUAAAAUAUGUUGUUAUCGAACCCUAAUGAAGAAGAAACGUAAUCACAUGUUUGCUCGAUGAUUAUAAACAAAAUUGUUCAUAUCAACAUUUUAUAACCGAGACAUUUGACUAGUAUCUGUGACUCAGUUAAAAUCAAAGCGCUGUUGUCCCAAAGCGCCAAGCACAGUUUUUUGAACUCACAUGGACGUCGGAGGUCAGAUGUGUUGAUCAAACACAGUUUGUAUGUCAGGUAUAACAAAUCAGUGUCAACUUCACCUUCAAAUCGAUUUCAUUAUUAUUUACAGUGUCUGUGAUGACCUACAAUGGUGGAACAACAACCCCCCGAUCCUGUGUUCAUUACAGCACAACAUUCAGCCUCCAACGAAACUGUAAGUGAGGCUGAUGCAACAACAAAAAGCAGAUUUUUGUUUGUUCUUCAUGUAUCUUUGAUUCCAUACAUGCGUUAAUAUGUGUGUAGGUGUGUGUGUGUGUGUGUGUGUGUGUGUGGUAAAGGGGUUGCCAGAGCAGAAAGGGCAACCCCCUCCGUCCUCUUCAGGGGGCCGAGUGGGCGGACGGUCCAGAUGGAUUACUGCUGCUGCUGCACCUCACAAACCUGAAACACACAAAUGGAACAUAAUGAAUGGAAAAAUAAGAAAGUACAAAUAAUGAAUGAUAAAUGAUGAAUAUCAAAUAAUACAUGUAAAAAAUAAUAA
rnacentral:lncRNA from 1 species